UACGUAGGGUGCAAGCGUUGUCCGGAAUUAUUGGGCGUAAAGAGCUCGUAGGCGGUCUGUUGCGUCGGCUGUGAAAACCCGGGGCUCAACCCCGGGCCUGCAGCCGAUACGGGCAGACUAGAGUUCGGCAGGGGAGACUGGAAUUCCUGGUGUAGCGGUGGAAUGCGCAGAUAUCAGGAGGAACACCGGUGGCGAAGGCGGGUCUCUGGGCAGUAACUGACGCUGAGGAGCGAAAGCGUGGGGAGCGAACAGG
rnacentral:rRNA from 1 species